UGAGGAAUAUUGGUCAAUGGGCGAGAGCCUGAACCAGCCAAGUAGCGUGCAGGAUGACGGCCCUAUGGGUUGUAAACUGCUUUUGAAGGGGAAUAAAAGGAUCUACGUGUAGAUUUUUGCAUGUACCUUUCGAAUAAGGAUCGGCUAACUCCGUGCCAGCAGCCGCGGUAAUACGGAGGAUCCGAGCGUUAUCCGGAUUUAUUGGGUUUAAAGGGUGCGUAGGCUGGUGUUUAAGUCAGCUGUGAAAUACCGACGCGUACCGUCGGCAAUGCAGGUGAAACUGGGAACCUGGAGAGUGCAAGAGGCAUGCGGAAUUCAUGGUGUAGCGGUGAAAUGCAUAGAUAUCAUGAAGAACCCCGAUUGCGAAAGCAGCAUGCUGGGGCAUAUCUGACGCUGAGUCACGAAAGUGCGGGUAUCAAACA
rnacentral:rRNA from 1 species